UCAAACUUGGUCAUUUAGAGGAAGUAAAAGUCGUAACAAGGUUUCCGUAGGUGAACCUGCGGAAGGAUCAUUAUUGAAUCUGGAGGCCUGGGUUGUAGCUGGUCCUCUCGGGGGCAAGUGCUCGCCUGGAGCCCUUUCCAACACACCCUGUGCACCAACGUGUGGACCUUGGCGGCUACUGCCGUCAUGGAACAUGCUUUUUCAUAAGCUCCCUAGUAUGUUCUAGAAUGAAUGACAGCGUUAAACGCAUCUGACAUAACUUUCAACAACGGAUCUCUUGGCUCUCGCAUCGAUGAAGAACGCAGC
rnacentral:misc_RNA from 1 species